rnacentral:lncRNA from 1 species
ACUUUAAUUAACUUUUCUCUCUAUUAUUGCUCCGUUGUUAUCUUCUUCUUAUCGUAUUUGCUGCUUUUCUAUCUUCUUUCCAGCAGACAUGCUUAUCUUCAUUCUAACUGUACGUCUGGUAUAACGUUAUCUUCUCCUUUAUAUCUAGAACAUUGAUGGUCUGGAUAUUUGUGUCCAAUUAUCUUACAAUAUCUUGUUAAUAAUCCGUCUGAAAUAAAUCCUUUCUUAAUUGCUCUUACAGUAUCAUUACCCAUUUUCUAACAUCUUCCAUAUUUGUUUGUCGUAGUUCUCUUGAAUUGAAUAAAUCAUUUUAUGGUCUCUUGAAUAAUAGCUUCAUAUUGGGUUUCCAUUGAUAUAAUUAUUUGUUAAUUCUUGAAUAAUUGUAGCUAGUCCAAUAAGUCAUUUAUUU